rnacentral:tRNA from 1 species
GGAGGGGUGGCCGAGUUGACCGAAGGCGGGCGAUUUACAAUCGCUUGGCGGUGCUGAACCCACCGCCCGUGGGUUUGAAUCCCACCCCCUCCG